UGUCAAAGUGCUUCUUGGCUGUCUGUGGGGUUGGCAUGAAAAGGAUUGAGCGUCAAGGUGGAUGUCUCUUUGCCCAUUUUUUGGGUUGUGGUCUAGAAAGCAUAUUGUGAUUUGUACAAGAAGCACGUUCCCAUUUGGACCUUUAACAAAUUCAGCUGUUUUGUGUUCUGUAGAGAAGUACUGAGCAGCUUAAAGCAUUUGAAUGGGAGGAGGAGAAGCAAACUACAGCUACUUCAGAAGAUGACACUAAAUACCUAGUCCAACCUGUAUACACUAGAGGUAGGAGAGGUGGUUCAUAGAACUCCACAUGUGCCCAAAGUUUUCUCCUGGCCUUCCUGGGUAGUUCUGUGUUGUCUAAUAAAUCAGGAAAAAAUAGUGCAACAGAGUUCUCAAUCUC